rnacentral:rRNA from 1 species
CCCUUAGAUGUUCUGGGCCGCACGCGCGCUACACUGAUGCAUUCAACGAGCCUAUCCUUGACCGACAGGUCCGGGUAAUCUUUGAAUCUGCAUCGUGACGGGGAUAGAUUAUUGCAAUUAUUAAUCUUCAACGAGGAAUUCCUAGUAAGCGCGAGUCAUCAGCUCGCGCUGAUUACGUCCCUGCCCUUUGUACACACCGCCCGUCGCUACUACCGAUUGGAUGGCUUAGCGAGAAUUUUGGAUCGGAGCCCGGGUGGUCGGCAACGGUCGCCCGGGAGAUCUGAGAAAUCAUUCCAGCUUGGUCAUCUAGAGGAAGUAAAAGUCGUAACA